CGAGCGGUAGAGAGAAGCUUGCUUCUCUUGAGAGCGGCGGACGGGUGAGUAAUGCCUAGGAAUCUGCCUGGUAGUGGGGGAUAACGUUCGGAAACGGACGCUAAUACCGCAUACGUCCUACGGGAGAAAGCAGGGGACCUUCGGGCCUUGCGCUAUCAGAUGAGCCUAGGUCGGAUUAGCUAGUUGGUGAGGUAAUGGCUCACCAAGGCGACGAUCCGUAACUGGUCUGAGAGGAUGAUCAGUCACACUGGAACUGAGACACGGUCCAGACUCCUACGGGAGGCAGCAGUGGGGAAUAUUGGACAAUGGGCGAAAGCCUGAUCCAGCCAUGCCGCGUGUGUGAAGAAGGUCUUCGGAUUGUAAAGCACUUUAAGUUGGGAGGAAGGGUUGUAGAUUAAUACUCUGCAAUUUUGACGUUACCGACAGAAUAAGCACCGGCUAACUCUGUGCCAGCAGCCGCGGUAAUACAGAGGGUGCAAGCGUUAAUCGGAAUUACUGGGCGUAAAGCGCGCGUAGGUGGUUUGUUAAGUUGGAUGUGAAAUCCCCGGGCUCAACCUGGGAACUGCAUUCAAAACUGACUGACUAGAGUGUGGUAGAGGGUGGUGGAAUUUCCUGUGUAGCGGUGAAAUGCGUAGAUAUAGGAAGGAACACCAGUGGCGAAGGCGACCACCUGGACCAACACUGACACUGAGGUGCGAAAGCGUGGGGAGCAAACAGGAUUAGAUACCCU
rnacentral:rRNA from 1 species